CAACCAACCAAGAUGGCCGCCAUGGCUAAAAAUAGAACAUAGGGGUAAAAUGCAGUUUUGGGCUUAUAACUUAAAACCCAAAGCAUUUAGAGCAAAUCUGACAGUGGGAGAAAUUGUUUAUCAAGUCCAGAUCUAUCUGCUCUAAAAUUUUCAGAUGAAUUGGACAACUGGUUGUUAGGUUGCUGCCCCUGAAUUGGUAAUUUUAAGGAAAUUUUGCUGUUUUUUGGUUAUUAUCUUGAAUACUAUUAUAGAUAGAGAUAACCUGUAAACAGCAAUAAUGUUCAGAAAAAUAAGAUUUACAAAUAAGUCAACAUGACUGAAAUGGUCAAUUGACCCCCUAAGGAGUUAAUGUCCUUUAUAGUCAAUUUUUUAAAAUUUUCAUAAAAUUUGUAAAUUUUUACUAACAUUUUCCACUGAAACUACUUGGCCAAGUUCAUUAUAGAUAGAGGUAAUUGUAAGCAGCAAAAAUGUUCAGUAAAGUAACAUGUACAAACACAUCACCAUCACCAAAACACAAUUUUGUCAUGAAUCUAUCUGCGUCCUUUGUUUAAUAUUCACAUAUACCAAGGUGAGCGACACAGGCUCUUUAGAGCCUCUAGUUCUUUACUCUUAAUGACUGUACUGUUUACCGUAUAUUUAUUCACAGUUUAAGAUCAAAAUGUUGAGUUUUAUAAGAAUGUAUGAGUUGAGCCAUCUAAAGAUAUUAUGUUCAUUAUUAAAGAAAGCUGU
rnacentral:lncRNA from 1 species